UACAGAGGUCCCGAGCGUUGUUCGGAUUCACUGGGCGUAAAGGGUGCGUAGGUGGUGAGGUAAGUCGGAUGUGAAAUCUCCGGGCUUAACCCGGAAAUGGCAUUGGAAACUACCUUGCUAGAGGAUUUGAGGGGGGAUUGGAAUACUUGGUGUAGCAGUGAAAUGCGUAGAUAUCAAGUGGAACACCAGUGGCGAAGGCGAAUCCCUGGAAAACACCUGACACUGAGGCACGAAAGCUAGGGGAGCAAACAGG
rnacentral:rRNA from 1 species